rnacentral:misc_RNA from 1 species
GAUGAAGAACGUAGCGAAAUGCGAUAAGUAAUGUGAAUUGCAGAAUUCAGUGAAUCAUCGAAUCUUUGAACGCACCUUGCACCCUUUGGCAUUCCGAAGGGUAUGCUCGUUUGAGUGUCAUUGUACUCUCACACUCUCCGAUCCUAUGGAUUCGGGGAGCGGUGGACUUGGGUGUUGCUGCCUUUCCCUGUGGCUCACCUCAAAUGCGUCAGUGCACCUCUUGGUUGGACAUAGUACGGCGUGAUAAGUGUCUUCGCCGGCACCUCGCAAGAGGGUGGCCGAUCGGGAGCUCUGCGCUUUCAAACCGUCUUCGGACAAUUUCUGACAUCUUGACCUCCAAUCGAGUAGGACUACCCGCUGAACUUAAGCAUAUCAAUAAGCGGAGGA